GAUGAAGAACGUAGCGAAAUGCGAUAAGUAAUGUGAAUUGCAGAAUUCAGUGAAUCAUCGAAUCUUUGAACGCACAUUGCGCCCGCCAGUAUUCUGGCGGGCAUGCCUGUCUGAGCGUCAUUUCAACCCUCAGCCCCCGCUCGCGGGGCGCUGGCGUUGGGGAUCGGCCGUCCUCGCGGCGGCCGGCCCCGAAACACAGUGGCGGUCUCUCGCGGACUCCCCUGCGUAGUAGCACUACCUCGCAGAAGGGACGAGCGGGCUGCCCACGCCGUAAAACCCCCCACUUCUCCAGGUUGACCUCAGAUCAGGUAGGAAUACCCGCUGAACUUAAGCAUAUCAAUAAGCGGAGGA
rnacentral:misc_RNA from 1 species